rnacentral:rRNA from 1 species
GAGGGAGCUUGCUCCUGGAUUCAGCGGCGGACGGGUGAGUAAUGCCUAGGAAUCUGCCUGGUAGUGGGGGAUAACGUCCGGAAACGGGCGCUAAUACCGCAUACGUCCUGAGGGAGAAAGUGGGGGAUCUUCGGACCUCACGCUACCAGAUGAGCCUAGGUCGGAUUAGCUAGUUGGUGGGGUAAAGGCCUACCUAGGCGACGAUCCCUAGCUGGUCUGAGAGGAUGACCAGCCACACUGGAACUGAGACACGGUCCACACUAAUACGGGAGGCAGCAGUGGGGAAUAUUGCACAAUGGGCGCAAGCCUGAUGCAGCCAUGCCGCGUGUGUGAAGAAGGCCUUCGGGUUGUAAAGCACUUUCAGCGGGGAGGAAGGCGGUGAGGUUAAUAACCUCAUCGAUUGACGUUACCCGCAGAAGAAGCACCGGCUAACUCCGUGCCAGCAGCCGCGGUAAUACGGAGGGUGCAAGCGUUAAUCGGAAUUACUGGGCGUAAAGCGCACGCAUGCGGUCUGUCAAGUCCGAUGUGAAAUCCCCGGGCUCAACCUGGGAACUGCAUUCCAAACUGGCAGGCUAGAGUCUUGUAGAGGGGGGGUAAAUUCCAGGUGUAGCGGUGAAAUGCGUAAAGAUCUGGAGGAAUACCGGGGCCGAAGCGGCCCCUGGACAAAAACUGACGCUCAGGGGAAAGCGUGGGGAGCAAC